UACGUAGGUGGCAAGCGUUGUCCGGAUUUACUGGGUGUAAAGGGCGUGCAGCCGGAGAGACAAGUCAGAUGUGAAAUCGACGGGCUCAACCCGUGAACUGCAUUUGAAACUGUUUCCCUUGAGUGUCGGAGAGGUAAUCGGAAUUCCUUGUGUAGCGGUGAAAUGCGUAGAUAUAAGGAAGAACACCAGUGGCGAAGGCGGAUUACUGGACGAUAACUGACGGUGAGGCGCGAAAGCGUGGGGAGCAAACAGG
rnacentral:rRNA from 1 species